rnacentral:lncRNA from 1 species
AAAGAGUCGCAGUGCACGCUCUGCGGGGAGCCGGAAGGUAUCUGGUAUCCGGGGCUGUGGAAUUGCUUCAGAGGAACCCAUUAAAAUGAUCCCAUCAGUAAUUGAGGUGCAGCACGGAGAGGAGACAGUGAGAGUGUGCAGGUGUGUGGACCGUCACCUGGGCUCCAGCGCUAACGUAAAGAUGUGAGGAUUUGCUGCAUGACAAGACCACAGUCCCCACGCAAACCACGAGCUGUCAACUCACCGCUUUCAGUGUUGCCUGUUUCUCUCAAUUCUUUUUAUUGCUCUUCUGUCCAUCACAACACAUUUUUCCUAUCUUGUUCAUUCGUUGUUUAUUCUUUAUUAUUAUUGUUAUUAUUAUUUUGCUCUGUCACCCAGGUUGGAAUGAAGUGGCACCGUCUCAGCUCAGUGCAGCCUCAGCUGCCUGACCCUCCCACCUCAGCCUCCCGAGUAGCUGGGACCACAGGCAGGUGCCACCACGCCCAGCUAAUUUGCGUGUUUAUUGAGAGAUGAGGUCUCACUGUGUUGCGUAGGCUGGUCUGGAACUUCUGGCCUCCCACCUCAAAGUGCUGGGAUUACAGGCAUGAGCCAGAGCUUCUUUUCUCCUCAUUCUUGACCUUCUGUGUUCCUUUACUUUGUUUUUGCCUGCCCAUCUUUGCACCAGAUUCUUAGGGCUCAAAGCCAGCAAAUGCCAGGUUCUUGGCUCCACCUGCAUCCCGAUUUAUUUCCCUUGCUUUUUGGUGUUUUUCCAUAAUUUAGCACUAUCAUGCCCAUGCCAUUUAACAGGUUAUCUGUAGUAUAAAUUCUGCCAUAUUUUUUAUGUAAUUGAAUUCCACGUGGCUGGAAUGAGGAAACUUGGCUCUUGCAUCGUAUUUUUCUGAGUGUUCUGUUGUGUUGGUCACGUUCCCAAUGGCUCCCAUCGUGGACUGAGAAUAUAAGUAGAUGACUAAACUAGAGGUCACACAUCUCAAUAUCUACCAUAUGAAUUGUUUGCCAUGAUUCAUUGUUAAAAAAUAAAACAGUGCAUACAUUUAUUUUUUUAAUAAUGUCUUUUGAUUUAUUUUUCUCAAAAAGCUC